CUACACAUGCAAGUCGGACGGUAGCACAGGUAGAGCUUGCUCUCCGGGUGACGAGUGGCGGACGGGUGAGUAAUGUCUGGGAAACUGCCCGAUGGAGGGGGAUAACUACUGGAAACGGUAGCUAAUACCGCAUAACGUCUUCGGACCAAAGUGGGGGACCUUCGGGCCUCACGCCAUCGGAUGUGCCCAGAUGGGAUUAGCUAGUAGGUGGGGUAACGGCUCACCUAGGCGACGAUCCCUAGCUGGUCUGAGAGGAUGACCAGCCACACUGGAACUGAGACACGGUCCAGACUCCUACGGGAGGCAGCAGUGGGGAAUAUUGCACAAUGGGCGCAAGCCUGAUGCAGCCAUGCCGCGUGUAUGAAGAAGGCCUUCGGGUUGUAAAGUACUUUCAGCGGGGAGGAAGGCGGUGAGGUUAAUAACCUCGCCGAUUGACGUUACCCGCAGAAGAAGCACCGGCUAACUCCGUGCCAGCAGCCGCGGUAAUACGGAGGGUGCAAGCGUUAAUCGGAAUUACUGGGCGUAAAGCGCACGCAGGCGGUCUGUUAAGUCAGAUGUGAAAUCCCCGGGCUUAACCUGGGAACUGCAUUUGAAACUGGCAGGCUUGAGUCUCGUAGAGGGGGGUAGAAUUCCAGGUGUAGCGGUGAAAUGCGUAGAGAUCUGGAGGAAUACCGGUGGCGAAGGCGGCCCCCUGGACGAAGACUGACGCUCAGGUGCGAAAGCGUGGGGAGCAAACAGGAUUA
rnacentral:rRNA from 1 species